rnacentral:pre_miRNA from 1 species
GAUUCAUUGUUUUUUGAUUGUUGCUCAGAAGCCGUGCAUUUAACAACCCGCUUUUAAGCAAUAAUCAAAGCAAUAUGUAUC